AAUUCUACUUUAUUAACUUGUGUAUCACCCAUGAGUAGAUGCUUAGUUUUGAUUUACCCUUGUUUGAAUGCUAGUUCCACAUUUAGCUUGUGGCUGGAAUUCAUGUUCUUUUCAAUCGGGUCAAAGAUCUAGGUAUCAUUGCAGAUGUUUAUCCCAUGAUGCACCCCUUGGGGAAGCAUGGCUUCUUUGUGCCGCAAAGGCACUUCAUGUAUUUUUCCUUGUGAAUAAUGAAAAAGGAAAAUGCUGAAAAGAAAAAUUCAUAAAUUCACCAAGUCUUUAUGCUUAAUUGUUCAUAUUCUGGCUCGCUUAGUUGUUACAAGAUGUCUACCAAAAAGAAGUAGGCACUUGGUUUCAAUAAGCCUCACAUGAUUUGUGAUGUGUUGUGGGUGUCUGCACUUAUCUUUUGUUAAGAAUGUU
rnacentral:lncRNA from 1 species